UACAGAGGGUGCGAGCGUUAAUCGGAAUUACUGGGCGUAAAGGGCGCGUAGGCGGUCAUGUAAGUUGUAUGUGAAAUCCCUGGGCUUAACCUAGGAACUGCAUACAAGACUGUGUGACUGGAGUGCUGUAGAGGGUAGUGGAAUUUCCGGUGUAGCGGUGAAAUGCGUAGAUAUCGGAAGGAACACCAGUGGCGAAGGCGGCUACCUGGACAGACACUGACGCUGAGGCGCGAGAGCGUGGGGAGCAAACAGG
rnacentral:rRNA from 1 species